rnacentral:rRNA from 1 species
UGGGGAAUUUUGGACAAUGGGGGCAACCCUGAUCCAGCAAUGCCGCGUGUGUGAAGAAGGCCUUCGGGUUGUAAAGCACUUUUGUCCGGAAAGAAAACGUCGUGGUUAAUACCCGUGGCGGCUGACGGUACCGGAAGAAUAAGCACCGGCUAACUACGUGCCAGCAGCCGCGGUAAUACGUAGGGUGCAAGCGUUAAUCGGAAUUACUGGGCGUAAAGCGUGCGCAGGCGGUCCGCUAAGACAGAUGUGAAAUCCCCGGGCUUAACCUGGGAACUGCAUUUGUGACUGGCGGGCUAGAGUAUGGCAGAGGGGGGUAGAAUUCCACGUGUAGCAGUGAAAUGCGUAGAGAUGUGGAGGAAUACCGAUGGCGAAGGCAGCCCCCUGGGCCAAUACUGACGCUCAUGCACGAAAGCGUGGGGGAGCAAACAGGAUUCAGAUACCCUGGUAGUCCACGCCCU